CUCGCUCUCUGGAGGAGUCGGGCAUGUGGGUGUGGGGGGACACACACGAGGGCACCGUAUGUGUGUGUGUGUGUGUUAGUGUGUGCUUGGAGUGUUCAUAUCAGCUCCACAUGGAGGUGUCAGAGAGGAUUUGCUAGAUGUGAGCCCUUAAUUCAUCCAUAAGGGGAACUGGGGAUGUCUCCAGCCCUGUUAUCCUUUCUGAUGAUCAUCUCUCAGAGCAGGUCUUCUCUUGGGUUCUAAAUUUUAAGGGGUGCAAGUUGUUUUUAGAAGAUAGGAAAGGGGUUUGCCUCUUUUGUAAUAAAUCCUCUGAUAAGGUGAGACUCCAAGAUUUUAUUUCUAGGUUAUACCCAUCCUUGUCUACAUUUGGAGUGUGUGUGUGUGUGUGUGUGUGUGUGUGUGUGUGUGUGUGUGUGUAUGUUCCCAUUAUGGAUGAAUUAAGGACUCACAUCUAGCAAAUCCUCUCUGACACCUCCAUGUGGAGCUGAUAUGAACACUCCAAGCACACACUAACACACACACACACACACACACGCACGUGCACAUUCCUGUACACAUUAGUAUUUUAAAAAGACUUUUUUGAACAGUUAUAAGUUACUCCCCUUAAAACAAAGCCCAAAAGCACAACAACAACAAUAACAACAACAGCAACAACCGUGAGUGUGAUAAUGUGAGUUAUUGUGAGUGUGAGAAUGUGAGUUAUUUCUUAUUACUUGUAUUUCCCUAGGACUUUAAACACAGUGAGUACAGGUCUAGUGUUUCCCCUGUGAGUCUUCAUGAGCUUCUGCUCAUUAAGUGCUUGACAGACGAGUGGAAUCUCUAGAGGAAUGGCGUCUGGAAGCUCUCUCUGGGGUGUGUAACCCUCUCUGUCGGGGAAGGCAUGAGGUCAGAAAUGAAGAUACAGCAUCUUGGGAGUCCAAUGGGAGUUUAUUUAUGGAAAGUAGUACCUUAUUCUUUAGAAAACUUCACGUAUAAUAUAGGUAGGAAUAUUGACUCAAUGAAACCUAUAUUUAGCUUAGCAUAGUGCCUGGCACUAGGCAUUUAAUAAAUAUUUAUUGAAUGAAUGAUGCGUGAAUGUCUCUGAUGGUUUGCUUCUUUUUCUUGCUUCUCUGCCAAGAGAGAAAUUAAUAAAGUCAAGUGGAUUCAUGGCUAGUUAGCUAAUGCUUGGUUAUGUUUCCUGACUCAGCAUUUCUUGGGUGACUGGCUGGGAAUUAACAUGAUGACUUAGGGAUGUUUACUAAAUUGAAAGUGACCUUCUUCAAGCAGAAAUUUCAAACACUUAAUGUAAUGACCUAAAUGAUAGUUUUCCUAAUUGAAGCAAGAUUUAAUUGUAGGGAAGCCAACCUUUCUUUAUAAUUAAAAAAAAAUCGGUUUAAAAACCAUAAACAAGUCCCUCCCUCAAUAUUAGAACAUUGCAUAUGAGAUAAAUUUAGAUCAUGUAAUAGAAUGGGAUUAAUCUUCACAGUAGCCAUAUCCUCUGGGAGUGCAGCCCCUGCUCAGGUCGAGCAUCCUAGGACACUUUAUGAGAUGUUCCCAAGAGUGAUAGUCACUGACUGACCUCUAAAGCUCCAGAAUGCUCCUGCCCGUGACUCUACUCUUUCUCUGUUUGACGAACGUUUUAUUUACAGUGUUUAUGUGUGUGUUUUAUUUACAGUGUUUAUGUGUGUGUAUUUGUGGCAUGUGCGUGUUUGUGGGGCAUAAGUGUACAUGGAAGUCAAAGGGUAACUUGUAGCAGCUCUCUUCCACCAUGUGGGUUCCGGGAACUGAACUCAGGUCAUCAGGCAUGGUAUCAAGUAAGCCACACCACCAGCUCUUCCACCUUACUUUUUACACCAUUCUCUCUCCUAGAGUCUUCUUUUCCUCAGAGGACCAGGACUCCAGGUUGCCUCAUUUCACUUUCCAGCACUUUUGACUUCAGGACAGUGGCAUCAGACCUGGCCUUAUCUGUUUGGCCAUACUAUGAGGAGCACUCUCCCUUUCAAAAGCCAAAGUAAAUAAGCCAGGCUAAAGGUUACUGAGUGGCAGUAACCAGCCACGUCUAACUCCCUGGAAUGUUCAACCCCAGUCAUCCCUUUUGUGUGAAGUAGCUAUACAGUUUCUAAUCCUGAAGCCUCAACACUCAUGGGUGCAUCGAAACUUGGAGAGGUUAGACCCGCUUUCUAAAAGUGUGGUCAUUGUGAUAGUUGAAUAAAUAUUGUGAGAGGGCAGGGGAGAAUCAUCUGGCUCAGUCAGUAAAGUGUUUGUCACGUGGAUCUGAGUCUUCAGAACCCAUGUUAAAGAGCUUGUAAUCACAGCACUGGGAAGGAAGCAGAAGUGGAUCUCUGGGGCUUGCUGGCUGGCCAGCCUGGCAUACUUAAUCAGAAACUCCCAGGCCACUGAGAGAGACUCUGGAUCAAAGAACAAGGUAGGCUGCACCUGAUGAAGGACACCGAAACUGACCUUACACACACACACAUACACACACACACACACACACACACACACACACACACACACACACACACACACACAAAUACAGUUGGGCUGCCCUCUUUCACCAGCCCACCUCUGCCCAUUAGGUAGCCAUGGUCCAUUCUUCCAGGAGGCCAGUGAGGGGUCAGGUCAGCUCCCUAGGCCCUCCUAUCAGUACGGUCAUAGCAGCUGAGUGGCCAUAGGCAGGAUCCUGCUUUUAACUAUAUCUGAUGGAACAUUCCCACUGUAACGGUCCCUUCUUGGCUCCAGAAUACCUCCAGAUGGAUCUCUGGUGGACUACAAGACAGUUUCUAACAUGAUGACAGGGAAAGUGAUACAUGGCAAAUUACCAUAUCAGAGACGCAGACGUUCUCCCAGAGUGAUCGGAUGUGAAUUCCCUAUGUCCCAACUUUUGUCCUAGAAAUAAAGAGGGCAGGCUGCGGAGGGCCCUCACAGCUUUAAAACUGCAACAAGAAGCAGUUGUCAACGUGGAGGACAGAUGCUUAACACUUAAGGCCAAGGAAGAAGGCAAUGAGAAAUGGAUAUGCCAGUUUAUUAAAAGCGUGACUGGGGUCAACCGAGGCUUCAGUGGAGUUAGCUAUCAGUGCUACAGGGAGACGGAAAAAUAGCCUUUUGUGAAGUCUGGAGAGAGGAAGGCAGUCAUUUCUCAGGCAGUUUCCUCGGCAGCCUCUGAUAGCUUCCCUGUGCCUGCUGAUAUACAGACCUUCUUCUCACAUCUACACCAUUUAUUGCUUGUCGAAAAGCAAGUUACUCAAUGCUGUUCAGCUUGCAUUUUCAAGAGACGUUCAUAAAUAUGAUGUCACGAGGUCACGUUAAGGAAAAAAAAUAAGACCAUGAACACAAAAGAAGCAUUGCCUGGAUCCUGGAGACGCUGGUUCUUACAGGUAGUGUUUCCACGUCACCAUUCACGUUUCCGAAGCAACGAAACACAGUAGACUUGUUAUGGUUCUACUCCACAGAUUCAACAGACUGCAGUGCAAAACACAUGAACUAGCGAAAUGUGUUUUCUCUGCCAAGAAAAAACCCGGCAUCUACAGCAAAUGCACACAGGGUUUUUCUUACCAUGAUUGCCCAGUGACUACAGCACAGCUAUUUACAUAGGACUCCUAUUGUUUAGGUCUUCCUAAGUAGUUCAGAGGUGUGUGCACACCCAGUAUGGGAAAGCCAUGCCAGAUCCUACACAGGGCUUGAGCGGUUGCAGGGUUUUGGAAUGUGCUGGGGAGUUUUCUAUGAACAAAUGGUUGGUUCUCGAAGUCUUGUGUCAAUUCACUGAAGAAAACAACCUCAACCAAGGCUACUUCCUUGAUCCUAACAAGCCCGAGAUUGUUUGGGCUGACAGGAAGGGUUUACGGCACCGCAGAUCAGUUAAAAUGUAGUCUCAUUAUAGUCGGUACAGUUCAAGGAGACGCAUAUUUAGGGGUGAGGAGAGAAUGCAGAGCCUGAGUCGGGGUUUGGGUGGUAUCAGGGAAGGGGGCCAGAAGCCUUUCCAGAGGAGACAGCAUCUGAUGAGAGGAAGGGUUUGUUCUUCUCUGAAGUCCUAAGAGAUCACAGAAAGGGUGGGAUUUAGGGAUUAUUUAAAUGAUAGGAGACACAUGGCUUGGCAUGGGGAGUGGGAGGGUUUUCCAGGCAUGCUGGGCUCUUUGGAGACUGUUCCAGAGCUAGACCAAGGGAGGCCUGGAGGGGUGAGUUGGACUGCUCCCUCUUGGUGAGGCUGUCAUUUUAAUUCUCUCUUAGAUAAUAAGUGACAUGCUGGAGGAAGGUGCAAAGGGACUUUCUGGCAGUUGGAGCCAACUCUUAGUCACGGAGGGAGAACAGCUAACCUUGUAAUAAACCUUAGGCAUUUAGCCUCCAAAGACAAAUUACUUAUUAGCUUGGCACUCCCCCUUGUUUAUUCCACUGGAACAAGCAAGCCCGGGAGGAUAGCUUUGUGGGUAAAGAGCACUUUCAGUGCAAGCAUGAGGACCCGGGUUCAGAUCUUCACGGUCCUGCAGUAACCCCUACACUGGAGGGUAAAAGGGACAUGAGGAUCGUCGGGGCUUGCUGGUCACCAGGUUAGCAUAAAAACUACAAGCUCCAUGUUCAGAGAGAGACCUUGCCUCAAGGGAAUAAUGGAGUGUCAGAGAGAUGAGGAAGGAGGGAGGGGUGGGGGGGAGGGGAGAUACCCGACGCCCUUCUCUGGCCAUGCACAUACAUGUGCAUACACAUGUGCCAUACACACACAUGCACACCCUCACACAGGAAACAUAUUUAAUAAGGACUGCAGAGGUCUAGGGCUUGCUGGAAGCCUCAGGCAGAAAGUGCAUACAGCCUCUAAGAAAUGGAAGCAGAGUGGGCAGUUGCGGAUGAGAGAUGAACUAAGAAGACUUUCUUUGAAGUCAGGAACGACUUCCGCUUCACCUUUGAGGGAAGGAAGCAGGGAGAUCAGCACAGAGAUUACACAGUGAGUGCAGACUCCAUCUGAUGGGGGAAAUGGGCAGCCCGCAGGCUGGAGGGACAGACUGCGUUAGAAGUUAACACAGGGGUCUUAGAGAAUAAGCAGUACUGGCGGAAUCAUUGUAAUCCUCCGCACUUUCAACCUAAGUGCACAUUUCCUGUUCAGGACACGGAUUCAAUUGGGGCCUCUUGAAAAUUGGUAACCUAGGCCGAUUCUUUUUAUUGAGAAAAAAUGAGGAUGAUUUGUCUUGGCAUUGGAACCCGAUUUCCGUUUUGCUCAUCACAGGGUUUUGUCCUGGCCAGGCAACUGUGCUAAAGAGACAAUGCCCACAUGCUCAGCUCUUUGUUUAGGAGGGUCUGUGAAAGCACAGCUUCCACCAUUCUCCCUCCCUGCGCCCCGAAUCCUUUGGAGACUCCAACCUGGCCACCUUCGCUGUCCUCACAGACCGGCAAACUCUCCCCUCUCUCCACCCUUCUCCCAACCCAAACCCUUUCUCUACAUAGCAUUGUUUUUCUAAUUUAUUUGGCACUUAGGUGGUGUGAUACGGAGAUAGGUCAUAUUUUAUACACAUAUGCUGUAUUUAAGUCUCCACCAAAAUAACAUAUUCUCUUAUAGCCCAAGACUUGGUUUUGUAUUUUCUUAUGACCCAACGCUAAGGUUCUGAGGACAAAUAUGGACCGAAAUCAGGGGCCUGAGGAUUCUCGAAAAUAUUGUUCAAAGAUUUUCUUUUAAAAGAGGAAUCCAGGUCCUCCAUCUCCAGGUAAAUCCUGCUUCUUCCUCUCUUUGUGAUGCUAACAAGCUAGGAACAAAGCCGCUGCUCAUAAAGGCUCAGCUCCUUGACAGCGCUCUCUGGGGAACAGAGUGCUUCUGAGUGAGGGUGGGAGCGUCUGCUGUGCCCCUCCACUGGUACCAGCCAUGGCACCAAUGGUUCCUGUGCUUGCAUAGACGGUGGCGGAGGAUGACCCUGUCUCCUCCUCAGCCUAAGUGUGGGAGAGGGUAGGGACCCUGGUGACUACUAGUGGAGUGGUUUACAGUAAAUGAGAGGGAAGGAAAGGCUGGAGCCUGGAAGGAGGAGGAGGGGGAGGGCAUCAAGAGGAGAGUGGGCCAAGCACUCAGAGAAGACUUCCUGGUGGAGGUGGUCUUGUCCCGAAUAACAGUUUAGACCAGAAGGAGGGAAGGAUUCUGAUGACCACCCAGCUGGAGUCAGGAAAGUAUGGGGAGGAAUACAGAACGAAACUUUUCUUAGAAAACGUUAUUUGACGUGGCAGAGGCAUUGGGAAAUCAAGGAGAUUUAAUUACAACUCCCUUAUGAGCGGGAUUCGAAAAGGAGUGGGAGGCUCAUGGAAACCUUCAUUGCUGAGAAAAGUUAAGAGGAGGAAUAUGACAGAGGUAAUGGGCCUGUAUGUGUGUCAUGUCUGAUUUGUCAUUUUUCUAGACAGGCAUUCUGCCUCCUGCUUCCUUCUAGGUUAAAGGAGGGGGAAGAUCCUUCGGCUGUGAAGGUGAACAUACCGUUCGGGAUGCAGAAAUGGGACCUGGAAAAUACUUCUAUUCCUUUUAGGGAAGAAAAGGUCCAUCCUGAGUCACUUUGUUGCUAAGAAUAAUAAUAACCAUUUGUUCAGCAAUAACAAUGUGUGAGGUGCCCAAAAGAGCCCUACGUCUGGCUAAAUAAUUCCUUCCUUCCUUUAGAAAAUAGAAAACAGCUUGCCUAGUUUCUCUUCCAAUUUAUUCCUCUGGCUUUCCAGUCCUUGGGAAAUUUAGGAAGAUGCUUACUUCAUAAGCCUUUGUAGACCAGCCCUUCUGUAUUCAGAGACGAUGUCAUAGCGUGCAUUAAGCCGGGUCUUUAAGAUUAAUGCAGUGUGCAGGAAAACGUAAUAAAUGAACCUGCAUUAACAGCUUUUAGCUUGUCAAAGUGGCUGCAUGCUGAAGGCAUCUGGGAAAAAAUUGCAAAUCACAACACAGAGCAUUGCUAACAGAUGCUAACACGGAGAAGUGGUGGAUGGAGGCCGGAACAGGACCCAGCCUCCUGUGCUGUCUGCACGGGGAAGGCGACAGGAUUUAUGGACGAUGGCUCAUGACUGUUUGUGUGAAGAGGUGCUUGAAUGAACAAGCUGUUAGUACAGACAAAAGAUAAUGGGAACAGAAAAGGCUUGGUGUCCAGGAAGAAUGAUAGAUUGUAUCCAAGGUCCUGCCCAAAUUAAACUUUGAUUCUCUAACUCUCUGAAACAUCUCACAGGGUAUAAUGUAUCACAGGCUAAAGGUUAAUACAUAAUCAAAAUUAUGUAGCUGUACCUCCCUUCCCGGAUGUUAAUAGUAUAGCACUGUUCAGUUUGUGAGCCUGCACCUUCAUAGUCUACCAGUUAUCUGCUGUAAAAUAAUGCUACACCACCACAGGAUCUCAGUGGCACACAGCAAUGCAUGCUUAUUGCCCCUGUGUCCAGAGGUCUGCUUAGGGAGUGUUGCUGAUCUUGGUGAGGGGCUGAUCCCAUAUCUGGGUGUGGGCUGGCCUUCAGUUAAUCUAGGGUAGCAUUGACUGGGAUGGCCUCGGUGACACAGCUCAUCCACAUGGCCUUUUAUCUUCCACCAAGUGAAGACAGACACGGCCUCAUGGUGAUGGUGAGUCAGGAGAGAUCAACUAAAAACAUGUGGGACUCCCAUUCUAGCAAAAACAAGCCCCACAGCUAAAGUCAGCAUCUCGGUGUGGGGAAAUGCACCCCAUGCCUUUUGCUAAAGGAAUUGCAGCUGGGGAUGGAGAAGAGAGGAAGAAUAAAUAAUUGGCAUGAUCACAGGAAUCUACCACACUCACUGCCUCAUUUAAUCCUCAUAAUAGAAUCCUAAAACAGACAUCAGUGCAUCGGAAGCCUUCUUAAAGCUCCAUGGUGUGCCAGUAGCCUUUCAGAAGGUCAGGGAGAAGACUGGCCGCUGACCUUCCUGUCACAAACGCAAGGGGCUUUCCAUUGUGCCACGUGGCUCUUAGUUAACAACAUGAGUCUCAAGAAGCUUGCCUGGAGGUUCUGAAAACAGUGGAGAGAUGCACUCAAUGUCCCACGAACUAGGAAACACGGAAGCCUUUAUGUACUUGCUCUGACCCUAUGCAUAAAACUCCCUCAGUCCUAGAAGCUCUAACACCGUCACAUCUUACUUACCAGUCUGCGUGCGCUGGUGUAACUUUACCUGGGUAUUUAGUUGACAGUUGCUCUGACUGGGCGCCCUAACCUUGGUGAUAUAAAGCAAGUAAGGAGUCUUGUUCAUAUUAACCCAGAUUCAGGCAUGUGGCAAGGCUGAGUCAGGAAAAGAUAAUGUCGCUGUGUGAAGAAUGCCACCACUUAGUGGGACCUACCAGGAAGUUUUGCAGACAGACCAGGUUGUGGUAGGCAGUAGACGGUGUAGAACUAGGAAGAGGGAGAAGAACCUAGAGCAUGAAAUCAUCCAAGGAAACUGUAGCCCUAACUUCUCCAUGCUGUGUGCAAUGAUCCCCAAACAUCCUGCCAGCUCAGGACUUUAUACUCAGCGAAAACAUCUUCUAAAGAUGGGGGAGGGGCUGGGGAGAUGACUCUGGGCACGAGCACUUCUGUGUAGACACAGGACCUGAGUUUGAAUCUGCGUCUGCCUGGUAUGCCUGCAACCCCAGUAUUAGGAGCUGGGUCCCAGGAGUCUGCUGGUCAACCAGCCUAACGAAAACUGAAUUUAUUGUCAGCAGACUCUCAGGGAAAGGAUUCUUAAAGGACAUUCUUCAGGCACACAAAAAAUAUCAGGCAGAACCUCUAAUCUGCAAAAGAAGUGAAGGGCACUGAAAAUAGAGUCAAAGGAGAUAAAACUAAAUACAUCAUUUCUCUCCUCUCUUCUCUUGAGAGGCCAUUUAUAACACGCACGUGCGCGCUAUAUUAAUAUUGCCCUACAGUUCCUAACUGCUCCGCUGUGCUUUGCUCACUUUCUGUGUCACCUACUCCUUUUGAACUGCCAUCUGAUAGGCUCUGUUGAGCUAUCCUCAAAACCACUCCUCUCUCUGUCCGCGUCGAGUCCGUCACUGUGUGCCUGUUGAGAGCUUUGUUCCUUCCUGUGCUUGACUUGUUCUAUCCAGCUGAUUCUGUCUGGAGCUUCUGUUUGUCUUUGGAAAACACUAUGACCUCAUCAUACAGGUUACAGGCCUUUUCGAUGAAGCGAUUUGAUGUAGUAAUCACAGUGUCCUAAGGACUCCACUGAUGCCCUCAUACCCGUGUAGACAAAAAUCCCAGUUCUGCUGAUUGCCUGACCUCUGACAGUGUUUGCUUUCCUUCCUUCCUUCCUUCCUUCCUUCCUUCCUUCCUUCCUUCCUUCCUCCCUCCCUCCCUCUCCUUCCUUCCUUUUAUUCUCAUUCUUUCUCUUUCUCCCUCCUUCCCUUACUCCCUCCCUCCCUUCCUUCCUUCCUUCCUUCCUUCCUUCCUUCCUUCCUUCCUUCCUUGCCCUAUACCUUUUUUGACAAAAGCCCAACAUCUGUGUGGUGAUGGGGCAUGGUUGGGAUAGAUUACCUAUUCUUGCUUUCACUGAGUCCCAACCACAAGCAGGCCAUGGGACUGAGGGCUUGCUCAGUGGCCAGCCCCAUCUGUAUCUCUCUCAUCUCACCCCUUCUGCAGGCUGCAAUGGUGGUUGCUUUUCUUUUUGUUUUUCACUAGUACCAAGACUGACAAUGUCUGUUACUUUUCUGCUCACUUUAGGUUUUUCCUCCCUAGGAGGCCCAGCCCUGCUUCUGGCAUUUUAAAUGCUGUUCUCCUCUUGGCUACUCCAUGUGGGUUUUCUUGAAGAAUUACUCCUCUCCUAUUCUUCUCGGUGUACCAGUGAGGGCUGUAGGAAAAGCCCUCUAUGAGGUGUUUGUGUUUUCUUAAAUUUUGAGUUCACUGGUUUCCUGUCAGCCUCAGUUCUCUGAUGGAUUCAUUAAAAAGAAAAAUUAAGGGCUGGAGAGAUGGCUCAGCGAUUAAGAGCACUGACUGCUCUUCCAGAGGUCCUGAGUUCAAUUCCCAGCAACCACGCGGUGGCUCACAACCAUCUGUAAUGAGAUCUGAUGCCCUCUUCUGGUGUGUCUGAGGACAGCUACAGUGUACUCAUAUAAAGUAAAUCUUAAAAAAAAAAGACAUAAAAAAAUUAAAACUUCUCUAACAUCUCUCCCCCUCCCUGUCCCCGUGUGUGUGUGUGUGUGUGUGUGUGUGUGUGUGUGUGUGUGUGUGUGUGUGUGUGUAUCUUCGAGUAAGGACUGAAACAAUGAUCUCUAUAGUUUUCUGUAUUCUAAGUGGGAAAAUAAUGUGGUUCUAAAGCUACUUUUUCCUAAUUUGUAAGAGUGUCUUGGUUUUCUUGUUGCUAUGAUAAAAUACCCUAACCAAUGCAACUUAAGAGAGAAAGGGUUUAUUACGGCUCUCGGUUCAAGUCCAUGUGUUGUCAGUACUGACAUCACAUGCUUGAUAACCACUGAUCCCAUUCUACCCACAGUCAGGAAGCAGGGAAGAUGAAUGCUGACUGCUGCUCAGCUGCUUUUCUCCGGUUAUGCAGUUCUUGCCUGGGAAUGGCACCGCCCAUGGUGGGCAGGUCUUCCCACCGCUGGCAUUCUGAAAGGCUCAUUCCUCAGGCGAGUCUUAGCGGCUGACAGCUAAGACUAACUAUCACAAAGAGUUUCAAGAAGUAUUUGUCAUAGUGUCAAGUGUAGACCAUCUGCAAUUAGAAUGGCAGACUUAUUAAGACGGCUGAUUCUGGAGUUAUGCUUCAGACUUGAGAAUCUGAAAAAAAUCCAAAGAGCACUCACUUUUAAAAACUCCUCUGACAGUAAUUUGUACAUUUCAAAGUUUGAAAUUUGUUGGAUCUGCAGCAAUGUCAGGACACAAAGAUGACAUCCCAAAGAAUAGCACCGUGGCGUACUGAGUUCUCUAGGGGAUUCCAAACAUCUUACAUGAGGUUGUUUAGACUUCUGCCCCUCAUCUUGUGUCAUCCAUUCCUGUAGUUCCCCCACUCCUGCAAAGGCCAAUCACAGAGAUCUAAAUUUUUUCCUCCAAAGUGGAGGAGAAACUAGAACACCUCAUCCCAAAGCAAGCCAUACUUUGGCCUCUCUGUUCUCCCAAAGGUCCCCUUGUGAUAGCGGUCCUAUUCUCUGCUGUCAGAGAGGCCAAGAGGACCCGAAGGACAGGUCAUGAUGGCUUCACCUUCCAAAUAUUAUAAUAAAGUCAAACUCAUUUCUACACGGCUGCCCACUCUUUACUGCUCUAAGUACAGGUUUGUCGUGUGUCGUGUGUGUGUGUGUGUGUGUGUGUCUGUCUGUCUGUCUGUCUGUCUGUCUGUCUGUCUGGGGAUGAACCUUAGGCCUCACACAUGCUAAGCAAAGGGUUCUCCCACUGAGCUGUAUACCAGCCCUGAGGAUUCUCAUGUCAUGUAGAACUUUUGUGUUUAAUAAUCUGUCCUGCUCUUCCACUGUUAACAUGUUCUUUGUUUGAGAAGGAGGAGUCCCUGUGCCUCUGUGACCCUUGUGAUGGGUGACUGGCCUGGUGUUAUAUACUUUCACCCCAACAGCAAUGAACAUUUGUCAACACUUGGAUAGACUAAGAAACAAAAGGAACAAUAAAAUGUUUUCCUUUCGGACUAAGCCACUACCUAAAGACUAUACAUGGACUGACCCUGGACUCUGACCUCAUAGGUAGCAAUGAAUAUCCUAGUAAGAGCACCAGUGGAAGGGGAAGCCCUGGGUCCUGCUAAGAC